CCUACGGGAGGCUGCAGUGGGGAAUAUUGGACAAUGGGGGGAACCCUGAUCCAGCCAUGCCGCGUGUGUGAAGAAGGCCCUCGGGUUGUAAAGCACUUUCAGUGAGGAAGAACGCCUGGUGGUUAAUACCCAUCAGGAAAGACAUCACUCACAGAAGAAGCACCGGCUAACUCCGUGCCAGCAGCCGCGGUAAUACGGAGGGUGCGAGCGUUAAUCGGAAUUACUGGGCGUAAAGCGCGCGUAGGUGGCUUGAUAAGCCGGUUGUGAAAGCCCCGGGCUCAACCUGGGAACGGCAUCCGGAACUGUCAAGCUAGAGUGCAGGAGAGGAAGGUGGAAUUCCCGGUGUAGCGGUGAAAUGCGUAGAGAUCGGGAGGAAUACCAGUGGCGAAGGCGGCCUUCUGGACUGACACUGACACUGAGGUGCGAAAGCGUGGGUAGCAAACAGGAUUAGAUACCACAGUAGUC
rnacentral:rRNA from 1 species